GGAUGUGAGAGCAAUCUGGCUGCGACCUCUGUCACGCCAUUGACGGCCAGGGUUGAUUGGACUGAUGUGGCUGGCUAGGCAGGUGUCCCCUUCCUCCCUCCCUGCUCCAUGUGUGUCCUUCCCAAAGCCAGACGAUCACUCCAAGAGGAUGACCUUCCCUGUUGGAGGGGUACCAUUCGUGGGUCAAGGGUAUACGGUAGCUGCGCUCCCCUUCUAGAAGCUGCAAAGAAGCUCAAGGUGCAUUUGUAAGAGUACCUGGCUGGGGUAGUCAAGCUUUCAAGACUGCAGGCGCAUCCAAGUGAGGCACUGCGUGGGGUAGGGUGUUUGUUGGU
rnacentral:snRNA from 1 species